CGCCCUUUUCCGGUUGAUCCCGCCAGAGGCUACUGCCAUCAGAGUUCGAUUAAGCCAUGUUAGUCGAGGGUGCUUCUUCUUCGGAAGAAGUAACCCGGCGGACGGCUCAGUAACACGUGGAUAACUUGCCCUUGGGUCCGGGAUAACCCCUGAGAAAUUGGGGACAAUACCGGAUAGGGCAUCGAUAGCUGGAAUGCACGAUGUCCAAAAGCUGAGGCGCCCAAGGAUAGGUCUGCGGCUGAUUAGGUUGUUGUUGAUGUAAUGGAUCAACAAGCCUGCAAUCGGUACGGGUUGUGAGAGCAAGAGCCCGGAGAUGGGUUCUGAGAAAAGAACCCAGGUCCUACGGGACGCAUCAGGCGCGAAAACUUUACAAUGUGCGAAAGCACGAUAAGGGAACUCUGAGUGCCUCCUAUGGAGGCUGUUCAGGUGUCUAAAAAGCACUUGAAGUAAGGGCUGGGUAAGACCGGUGCCAGCCGCCGCGGUAACACCGGCAGCCCAAGUGGUAGCCACGAUUAUUGGGUCUAAAGCGUCCGUAGCCGGCCAGGUAAGUUCUUUGGGAAAUUUAACCGCUCAACGGUUAAGCUUUCAGGGAAUACUGCUUGGCUUGGGACCGGGAGAGGUCAGAGGUACUUC
rnacentral:rRNA from 1 species